rnacentral:rRNA from 1 species
AAAUAACAACACUGGAAAUUUUAUUUCUAGUGAUUGGAAUGAUGGGAAUUUAAACCCCUUUCAGAGUAACAAUUGGAGGGCAAGUCUGGUGCCAGCAGCCGCGGUAAUUCCAGCUCCAAUAGCGUAUAUUAAAGUUGUUGCAGUUAAAAAGCUCGUAGUUGGAUGUCUGCUGGAAGCAAUCAGUCCGCCCUAUUUGUAGGGUGUGCACUUGAUGAAUUCUGGCAUUUUUGUCCCAAUGAUGUAACGGGGCGGUGGUACUCGGUGAAAGCCGAGUAUCCUGUUUUCCGAUUAUUGGGAUACUGUUACUUUGAGAAAAUUAGAGUGUUUGAAGCAGGCUAAUUGCCUUGAAUACUGCAGCAUGGAAUAACAAUAUAGGAUUUCGGUUCUAUUUUGUUGGUUUCUAGGACUGAAAUAAUGAUUAAUAGGGACAGUUGGGGGCAUUCGUAUUUA